GGGUUGUGAGGUUAAGCGACUAAGCGUACACGGUGGAUGCCCUGGCAGUCAGAGGCGAUGAAGGACGUGCUAAUCUGCGAAAAGCGUCGGUAAGGUGAUAUGAACCGUUAUAACCGGCGAUGUCCGAAUGGGGAAACCCAGUGUGAUUCGUCACACUAUCGUUAACUGAAUACAUAGGUUAACGAGGCGAACCGGGGGAACUGAAACAUCUAAGUACCCCGAGGAAAAGAAAUCAACCGAGAUUCCCCCAGUAGCGGCGAGCGAACGGGGAGCAGCCCAGAGUCUGAAUCAGCUUGUGUGUUAGUGGAACGGUCUGGAAAGUCCGACGGUACAGGGUGAUAGUCCCGUACACCAAAAUGCACAGGCUGUGAACUCGAAGAGUAGGGCGGGACACGUGGUAUCCUGUCUGAAUAUGGGGGGACCAUCCUCCAAGGCUAAAUACUCCUGACUGACCGAUAGUGAACCAGUACCGUGAGGGAAAGGCGAAAAGAACCCCGGCGAGGGGAGUGAAAAAGAACCUGAAACCGUGUACGUACAAGCAGUGGGAGCACCUUCGGGUGUGACUGCGUACCUUUUGUAUAAUGGGUCAGCGACUUAUAUUCUGUAGCAAGGUUAACCGUAUAGGGGAGCCGCAGGGAAACCGAGUCUUAACUGGGCGUUAAGUUGCAGGGUAUAGACCCGAAACCCGGUGAUCUAGCCAUGGGCAGGUUGAAGGUUGGGUAACACUAACUGGAGGACCGAACCGACUAAUGUUGAAAAAUUAGCGGAUGACUUGUGGCUGGGGGUGAAAGGCCAAUCAAACCGGGAGAUAGCUGGUUCUCCCCGAAAGCUAUUUAGGUAGCGCCUCGUGAACUCAUCUUCGGGGGUAGAGCACUGUUUCGGCUAGGGGGUCAUCCCGACUUACCAACCCGAUGCAAACUACGAAUACCGAAGAAUGUUAUCACGGGAGACACACGGCGGGUGCUAACGUCCGUCGUGAAGAGGGAAACAACCCAGACCGCCAGCUAAGGUCCCAAAGUCAUGGUUAAGUGGGAAACGAUGUGGGAAGGCACAGACAGCCAGGAUGUUGGCUUAGAAGCAGCCAUCAUUUAAAGAAAGCGUAAUAGCUCACUGGUCGAGUCGGCCUGCGCGGAAGAUGUAACGGGGCUAAACCAUGCACCGAAGCUGCGGCAGCGACACUAUGUGUUGUUGGGUAGGGGAGCGUUCUGUAAGCCUGCGAAGGUGACCUGUGAGGGUUGCUGGAGGUAUCAGAAGUGCGAAUGCUGACAUAAGUAACGAUAAAGCGGGUGAAAAGCCCGCUCGCCGGAAGACCAAGGGUUCCUGUCCAACGUUAAUCGGGGCAGGGUGAGUCGACCCCUAAGGCGAGGCCGAAAGGCGUAGUCGAUGGGAAACAGGUUAAUAUUCCUGUACUUGGUGUUACUGCGAAGGGGGGACGGAGAAGGCUAUGUUAGCCGGGCGACGGUUGUCCCGGUUUAAGCAUGUAGGCUGAUUAUCCAGGCAAAUCCGGAUAAUCAAGGCUGAGGUGUGAUGACGAGGCACUACGGUGCUGAAGUAACAAAUGCCCUGCUUCCAGGAAAAGCCUCUAAGCAUCAGGUAACAUCAAAUCGUACCCCAAACCGACACAGGUGGUCAGGUAGAGAAUACCAAGGCGCUUGAGAGAACUCGGGUGAAGGAACUAGGCAAAAUGGUGCCGUAACUUCGGGAGAAGGCACGCUGGUGUGUAGGUGAAGUCCCUGCGGAUGGAGCUGAGACCAGUCGAAGAUACCAGCUGGCUGCAACUGUUUAUUAAAAACACAGCACUGUGCAAACACGAAAGUGGACGUAUACGGUGUGACGCCUGCCCGGUGCCGGAAGGUUAAUUGAUGGGGUUAUCCGUAAGGAGAAGCUCUUGAUCGAAGCCCCGGUAAACGGCGGCCGUAACUAUAACGGUCCUAAGGUAGCGAAAUUCCUUGUCGGGUAAGUUCCGACCUGCACGAAUGGCGUAAUGAUGGCCAGGCUGUCUCCACCCGAGACUCAGUGAAAUUGAACUCGCUGUGAAGAUGCAGUGUACCCGCGGCAAGACGGAAAGACCCCGUGAACCUUUACUAUAGCUUGACACUGAACAUUGAGCCUUGAUGUGUAGGAUAGGUGGGAGGCUUUGAAGCGUGGACGCCAGUCUGCGUGGAGCCAACCUUGAAAUACCACCCUUUAAUGUUUGAUGUUCUAACGUUGGCCCCUUACCGGGGUUGCGGACAGUGUCUGGUGGGUAGUUUGACUGGGGCGGUCUCCUCCCAAAGCGUAACGGAGGAGCACGAAGGUUAGCUAAUCCUGGUCGGACAUCAGGAGGUUAGUGCAAUGGCAUAAGCUAGCUUGACUGCGAGCGUGACGGCGCGAGCAGGUGCGAAAGCAGGUCAUAGUGAUCCGGUGGUUCUGAAUGGAAGGGCCAUCGCUCAACGGAUAAAAGGUACUCCGGGGAUAACAGGCUGAUACCGCCCAAGAGUUCAUAUCGACGGCGGUGUUUGGCACCUCGAUGUCGGCUCAUCACAUCCUGGGGCUGAAGUAGGUCCCAAGGGUAUGGCUGUUCGCCAUUUAAAGUGGUACGCGAGCUGGGUUUAGAACGUCGUGAGACAGUUCGGUCCCUAUCUGCCGUGGGCGCUGGAGAAUUGAGGGGGGCUGCUCCUAGUACGAGAGGACCGGAGUGGACGCAUCACUGGUGUUCGGGUUGUCAUGCCAAUGGCACUGCCCGGUAGCUAAAUGCGGAAGAGAUAAGUGCUGAAAGCAUCUAAGCACGAAACUUGCCCCGAGAUGAGUUCUCCCUGAGACUUUAAGUCUCCUGAAGGAACGUUGAAGACGACGACGUUGAUAGGCCGGGUGUGUAAGCGCAGCGAUGCGUUGAGCUAACCGGUACUAAUGAACCGUGAGGCUUAACCUUACAACGCCGAAG
rnacentral:rRNA from 1 species